rnacentral:rRNA from 1 species
UAUNGCACAAUGGAGGAAACUCUGAUGCAGUNACACCGCGUAUAGGAAGACGGUUUUCGGCUUGUAAACUAUUUUCGACAGGGAAGAAAAAAGACAGUACCUGUAGAAUAAGCUCCGGCUAACUACGUGCCAGCAGCCGCGGUAAUACGUAGGGAGCAAGCGUUAUCCGGAAUCAUUGGGUGUAAAGGGUGCGUAGACGGGACAGCAAGUUAGUUGUGAAAGCCCUCGGCUUAACUGAGGAACUGCAACUAAAACUAUUGUUCUGGAGUGCAGGAGAAGAAAGCGGAAUUCCUAGUGUAGCGGUGAAAUGCGUAGAUAUUAGGAGGAACACCAGUGGCGAAGGCGGCUUUCUGGACUGUAACUGACGUUGAGGCACGAAAGUGUGGGGAGCAAACAGG